rnacentral:rRNA from 1 species
GAUGAACGCUGGCGGCGUGCCUAAUACAUGCAAGUCGAGCGAACGGACGAGAAGCUUGCUUCUCUGAUGUUAGCGGCGGACGGGUGAGUAACACGUGGAUAACCUACCUAUAAGACUGGGAUAACUUCGGGAAACCGGAGCUAAUACCGGAUAAUAUUUUGAACCGCAUGGUUCAAAAGUGAAAGACGGUCUUGCUGUCACUUAUAGAUGGAUCCGCGCUGCAUUAGCUAGUUGGUAAGGUAACGGCUUACCAAGGCAACGAUGCAUAGCCGACCUGAGAGGGUGAUCGGCCACACUGGAACUGAGACACGGUCCAGACUCCUACGGGAGGCAGCAGUAGGGAAUCUUCCGCAAUGGGCGAAAGCCUGACGGAGCAACGCCGCGUGAGUGAUGAAGGUCUUCGGAUCGUAAAACUCUGUUAUUAGGGAAGAACAUAUGUGUAAGUAACUGUGCACAUCUUGACGGUACCUAAUCAGAAAGCCACGGCUAACUACGUGCCAGCAGCCGCGGUAAUACGUAGGUGGCAAGCGUUAUCCGGAAUUAUUGGGCGUAAAGCGCGCGUAGGCGGUUUUUUAAGUCUGAUGUGAAAGCCCACGGCUCAACCGUGGAGGGUCAUUGGAAACUGGAAAACUUGAGUGCAGAAGAGGAAAGUGGAAUUCCAUGUGUAGCGGUGAAAUGCGCAGAGAUAUGGAGGAACACCAGUGGCGAAGGCGACUUUCUGGUCUGUAACUGACGCUGAUGUGCGAAAGCGUGGGGAUCAAACAGGAUUAGAUACCCUGGUAGUCCACGCCGUAAACGAUGGGUGCUAAGUGUUAGGGGGUUUCCGCCCCUUAGUGCUGUAGCUAACGCAUUAAGCACUCCGCCUGGGGAGUACGACCGCAAGGUUGAAACUCAAAGGAAUUGACGGGGACCCGCACAAGCGGUGGAGCAUGUGGUUUAAUUCGAAGCAACGCGAAGAACCUUACCAAAUCUUGACAUCCUCUGACCCCUCUAGAGAUAGAGUUUUCCCCUUCGGGGGACAGAGUGACAGGUGGUGCAUGGUUGUCGUCAGCUCGUGUCGUGAGAUGUUGGGUUAAGUCCCGCAACGAGCGCAACCCUUAAGCUUAGUUGCCAUCAUUAAGUUGGGCACUCUAAGUUGACUGCCGGUGACAAACCGGAGGAAGGUGGGGAUGACGUCAAAUCAUCAUGCCCCUUAUGAUUUGGGCUACACACGUGCUACAAUGGACAAUACAAAGGGCAGCGAAACCGCGAGGUCAAGCAAAUCCCAUAAAGUUGUUCUCAGUUCGGAUUGUAGUCUGCAACUCGACUAUAUGAAGCUGGAAUCGCUAGUAAUCGUAGAUCAGCAUGCUACGGUGAAUACGUUCCCGGGUCU